AGUGAACGCUGGCGGUAGACCUAACACAUGCAAGUCGAACGGCAGCACAGUAAGAGCUUGCUCUUACGGGUGGCGAGUGGCGGACGGGUGAGGAAUACAUCGGAAUCUACUUUUUCGUGGGGGAUAACGUAGGGAAACUUACGCUAAUACCGCAUACGACCUACGGGUGAAAGCAGGGGAUCUUCGGACCUUGCGCGAUUGAAUGAGCCGAUGUCGGAUUAGCUAGUUGGCGGGGUAAAGGCCCACCAAGGCGACGAUCCGUAGCUGGUCUGAGAGGAUGAUCAGCCACACUGGAACUGAGACACGGUCCAGACUCCUACGGGAGGCAGCAGUGGGGAAUAUUGGACAAUGGGCGCAAGCCUGAUCCAGCCAUACCGCGUGGGUGAAGGAGGCCUUCGGGUUGUAAAGCCCUUUUGUUGGGAAAGAAAAGCAGCAGGUUAAUACCCCGCUGUUCUGACGGUACCCAAAGAAUAAGCACCGGCUAACUUCGUG
rnacentral:rRNA from 1 species